AACAAGGCGUACCUGCGGACCUGCGGAGGGAUCAUUACAGAGUUGCAAAACUCCCUAAACCAUUGUGAACGUUACCUAAACCGUUGCUUCGGCGGGCGGCCCGGGUCCUUCCCGGCGCCCCUCGGCCCUCGCGGGCGCCCGCCGGAGGUAAACCAAACUAUUGCAUUUGUAUGGCCUCUCUGAGUCUUCUGUACUGAAUAAGUCAAAACUUUCAACAACGGAUCUCAGAUCGGAAGAGCA
rnacentral:misc_RNA from 1 species